UACGUAGGGGGCUAGCGUUCGGUCGGUAUUUGAUUGGGCGUAAAGAGCGUGUAGGCGGCCAGGUAGGUCUGCUGUGAAAACUCGAGGCUCAACCUCGAGACGUCGGCGGAAACCAUCUGGCUAGAGUCCGGAAGAGGAGAGUGGAAUUCCUGGUGUAGCGGUGAAAUGCGCAGAUAUCAGGAAGAACACCCGUGGCGAAGGCGGCUCUCUGGGACGAUACUGACGCUGAGAAGCGAAAGCGUGGGGAGCGAACAGG
rnacentral:rRNA from 1 species